UGGUGGAGUGAUUUGUCUGGUUAAUUCCGAUAACGAACGAGACUCUGUCCUGCUAAAUAGUUCCCGUGUCGCUAGUUGCACGGGAAAUUCUUCUUAGAGGGACUGGCGGCGUCUAGCCGCACGAGAUUGAGCAAUAACA
rnacentral:rRNA from 1 species